rnacentral:rRNA from 1 species
UACGUAGGCAGCGAGCGUUGUUCGGAAUUACUGGGCGUAAAGAGUGUGUAGGCGGUGCUCUAAGUUCGGUGUGAAAUCUCCCGCUUAACCGGGAGGGUGCGCCGAAAACUGGGAGACUAGAGUGCGGGAUGGGAGAGUAGAAUUCCUGGUGUAGCGGUGAAAUGCGUAGAUAUCAGGAGGAACACCGGGUGGCGAAGGCGGCGACCUGGUCCUAUACUGACACUCAUACACGGAAAGCGUGGGGAUCAAACAGG